rnacentral:rRNA from 1 species
AGAGUUUGAUCAUGGCUCAGGAUGAACGCUGGCGGCGUGCUUAACACAUGCAAGUCGAACGGAACUCUUUGGAUCGAGGCUUCGGCCAAGUGAAUCUGAGUUUAGUGGCGGACGGGUGAGUAACGCGUGAGGAACCUGCCUUUCAGAGGGGAAUAACAGUUGGAAACGACUGCUAAUACCGCAUAACGCAUAGGGACCGCAUGAUUCUUAUGCCAAAGAUUAUAUCGCUGAAAGAUGGCCUCGCGUCUGAUUAGCUUGUUGGCGGGGUAACGGCCCACCAAGGCGACGAUCAGUAGCCGGACUGAGAGGUUGGCCGGCCACAUUGGGACUGAGAUACGGCCCAGACUCCUACGGGAGGCAGCAGUGGGGAAUAUUGGGCAAUGGGCGCAAGCCUGACCCAGCAACGCCGCGUGAAGGAAGAAGGUCUUCGGAUUGUAAACUUCUUUUAACAGGGACGAUAAUGACGGUACCUGUUGAAUAAGCUCCGGCUAACUACGUGCCAGCAGCCGCGGUAAUACGUAGGGAGCGAGCGUUAUCCGGAUUUACUGGGUGUAAAGGGCGUGUAGGCGGGAUUGCAAGUCAGAUGUGAAAACUCCGGGCUCAACUCGGAGCCUGCAUUUGAAACUGUAGUUCUUGAGUGAUGGAGAGGCAAGCGGAAUUCCUAGUGUAGCGGUGAAAUGCGUAGAUAUUAGGAGGAACACCAGUGGCGAAGGCGGCUUGCUGGACAUUAACUGACGCUAAGGCGCGAAAGCGUGGGGAGCAAACAGGAUUAGAUACCCUGGUAGUCCACGCCGUAACGA